UCCUCCCUCAAACCUCGGGUUUGGUGUUGGACCCAAGUUGUGUGAACAACUGGUCUCAAAGACAAUGACGGCGUCCGUGGGACCCUCGGUGCAACGAGCUUUUUAACGAGCACGCGUCGAGUUUCAAGGACCUUCCGGGCCGGUCUCCUUCUUUUAUUUACAAA
rnacentral:misc_RNA from 1 species